UACAGAGGUGGCAAGCGUUGUUCGGAAUUACUGGGCGUAAAGGGCGCGUAGGCGGUCUCAUAAGUCCCGUGUGAAAGCCCCCGGCUCAACUGGGGAACGGCACGGGAAACUGCGAGGCUUGAGUUCGGGAGAGGGAAGCGGAAUUCCGGGUGUAGCGGUGAAAUGCGUAGAUAUCCGGAGGAACACCAGUGGCGAAGGCGGCUUCCUGGACCGAUACUGACGCUGAGGCGCGAAAGCUAGGGGAGCAAACGGG
rnacentral:rRNA from 1 species